GACAUGGUAGUUCAGUGGUAGAAUUCUCACCUUCCGUGUGGGAGACCUGGGUUUGAUUCCUGGCAGUGCA
rnacentral:tRNA from 1 species